GGACCUGAAUCAAACAAGAC
rnacentral:rRNA from 1 species